GUUAGCUGUUAGCUGUUAGCUGUGACGCAGAUGUUUGCGUGGUGGAGACGAGAAAAACUGACGGACAGGUGAUGUCACAUUUACAUGAAGACACUUCUGUCCCUGCGCAUGGAUUAUUAAAAACAAAUGGAUACCAUCUAAUGUCUUCAUCGCCUGAGUGGAAAUACUCAUGAAGUGCUGACGGAGGAUCUACAUUCAUGCCAGGAAGAUGAUGGUCACCACUCCCAUCAGCACCCAGGAGAAGAUGAUGCUGAAGCCGACGCCGCUGCGGAAAAGGACAGCAACC